GAUCAUUGACAUAAUUGAUAAGGCUAAAAACAAAGAGAUAACUAACGUAGAGAGGCUCUAAGCCCUCUACAAUAGCUUGCAAGUAUAGACCUAACGUGCUAUACGCUGAACCAGCAAAAGCGGUGAAGCCCUCGCAGGGUGAUGAACGCAGAGGCUGGCAACCUCGCCCUUCGUAAGGGGCUUGCAAGCAC
rnacentral:sRNA from 12 species